rnacentral:rRNA from 1 species
UACGUAGGGGGCAAGCGUUGUCCGGAAUCAUUGGGCGUAAAGAGCGUGUAGGCGGCCCGAUAAGUCCGCUGUGAAAGUCCAGGGCUCAACCCUGGAAUGCCGGUGGAUACUGUCGGGCUCGAAUCCGGAAGAGGUGAGUGGAAUUCCUGGUGUAGCGGUGAAAUGCGCAGAUAUCAGGAGGAACACCAAUGGCGAAGGCAGCUCACUGGGACGGUAUUGACGCUGAGACGCGAAAGCGUGGAGAGCAAACAGG